UUGCUUUUCAUAAUGAGAUGCAAAAUAAAAAGUCUAAUUUAUUGGUCUUUGAAAACAGAUUUCAUAUAGAUAUUCAUUGGAAGGUUUCAAAACUUUAAAGAUUUAAAUGCUUUUCUUUUGAGAUAUAAUAGAAAGCUGAUAGUCAAAUUAACCCUGAUUUGUGUUGAUUUACUUCAUCCCAUCAAGCAGUCAUAGGAAUUAUUUACAUUUUGAAUAGAAAAUAGUAGAAAUAGACAAAAUAAUACAUCCCUUUUUAGUGUUCAGUGUAACUCAGCUUUGUAAAAGUCAAUGUACUGAGAUAUCAAUCAAUCCAGCAAUUGCUUUUUGUUACAGGCUCCUGCGUGGAUCACUGGGGACUUCAGACUGUGAGCAAAUAACAGGGAACAAGAUCAGACUUCAGGAUCACUUGAUGUCUGUACUCCUACAGCCUUCCUAUGCAACUUGAUAAGAACUUACUGGACCCUGACGUUGACCUGAACAAGAUCUGAAUUAAGCUUGAGUUUUCGUCAUCAGUCUGGGACCUCAGCACUGAACCAGCAGACUUCCUCUUAGGGAAGCCAGAUGUCAUGCUGUCAGUGGCACUACGGAGAGGCCCUGUGGCAAGGAACCAAAGGAGGCCUUGGCCACAGCCAGAGAGAAACUGAUCUGGUCAAGAAUCAUGUGAAUGAACCUGAAAGCCAAUCUGCCCCCAGUUGUGCCUUUACAUGAGACUGCAGCCCCUGCUGACCAACACUGAAUACAGCCUCGUGAGGGGUCUUGAGGAAAAGGCACACUGCUAAGCCACACCUGGAUUCCUGACUCACAGAAGUGGCUACUGGUGAUGAAGAAUCUGCUGGAAGCUCUGGAGGACAGGUGCUCACUGUCUAAUGUUACACAGCUCUCCUCUCUCAACUUACUGCCCCAGGAAAGGAAUUUUUGCCAGAGCAGGAGGGAGCUGAGGAAGUCUGGGCAGUUCACAACAGACCAUCUGAAAUCAUUUUCCCAGGCAGCGAAAUAAACACCAAGCCAGACAUUACAUUGCUUUC